CAUAGCGACUAUCGUGGCAUAUCAAUAAGCGGAGGAAAAGAAACUAACUAGGAUUCCCUUAGUAACGGCGAGUGAAGCGGGAAGAGCUCAAAUUUGAAAUCUUCAAGGUUCUACCUUGACGAAUUGUAGUUUAAAGAAGUGUUUUCUGAUGGAGUUUUGGUAAAAGUUAUUUGGAAUAGGACAUCAUAGAGGGUGAGAAUCCCGUAUUUGACCAUUUCUUCCAGCUGUGUGAUACACUUUCAAAGAGUCGGAUUGUUUGGGAAUGCAGUCCAAAAUGGGUGGUAAAUUUCAUCUAAAGCUAAAUAUUGGCGAGAGACCGAUAGCGAACAAGUACCGUGAGGGAAAGAUGAAAAGAACUUUGAAAAGAGAGUUAAACAGUACGUGAAAUUGUCAAAAGGGAAGCGUUUGACACCAGUGUUGUUUUCUCGAAAAUCAAUUAAAAAAGGCCGGAUUUUGUGUUGUAUUGACCUUAAAAGCUUUCUUCACUCUUUUCUUGUCUUUUUUAAUGCACUUUUCGUUUAACAAGUCAACAUCAGUUUCUUUUGUUGUAAAAGGGUCAUUGGAAGGUGGCUUUCUUUUCGGAGAAAGUGUUUAUAGCCUUUGAUCUCUGCAACCGGAGAGACUGAGGUCUGCAGCGUAGACUCUUCGGGGUUAGAUACAUUUGUGCUAAGCUAUAGUUCUUUAUAGACAACUUGUUGACUAUAAUCAAUCCUGUAACUUACUCGCUUAUGCUAUUUUACCUACGCUUAGGAUGUUGAUAGUCACAGCGUGUAC
rnacentral:rRNA from 1 species